GGCUCUGCUGGUCUAGUGGUUAGAGCAAAUGCAUCAAAUGCAUGAGGUCGCGGAUUCAAAUCCCGACAGUCA